UCCCAUGGGAAGAGGUUAGUCUUUUUUUUUUUCCUCCCAAUUUGCCUAGCUAGUAAUCAGGGCUUUGUUUUGGGUUUGUUCUCUCACUGUCUUAUGAUUUAUUAUUAUUUUUCACUUAAUUAAAAAAAUUUAAUUGAGCAACAUGAUGCUGUUUCACUUUCUUUUGUUCAUGAUUAUUCUAUUCUCAGAAUAAGAUAUGUGAACCCAUUUGUUAAAUAAUAUAGGAGAAAUAAUGUAGUGCCUGGUCAAUCAGUGUUUGCUAGGGUAGCAUUUGCAAUUUCAAAGUUUGAGCCUGUCACUAUGUGUUCCAGUGCUGCUCAGGUUAGUAAUAUUAGAGAUAAGAAAGGCUCUGAGAAUCUUUAAUAUCUAUUGGUCUUUUUUAUCAGUGUUGGAAGAGAUUUAAGUUUGAAUUCAUUAAGCUCAGUGGCAAAUGCACGAAGUCAGCUACCAUAAAAUGUCAGGGUUAUCGAGAUGAGUCUGAAUGAUUUUGGUUUCGUGAUACAAUCCUAGCGGUGAGCUUCUUCUACUGAUAACAAAUUCAUUAGUGGAAUACAAUGAUUUCAAUGUUGAUCUUUAAACCUUUGAUAUAUAUAUAUAUUUUUUAAGUUUCUUAUAGGAAGAAGUGCAUCAUGUUCUAGUCCCCCAGAGCCAAAAGUUGCUAGCAUUGAUUGGAAUUUUAAUAGCUGGGGAGAUUGGAUUGUGAAAUUUUUGUGUUGUACUACAUGGAGAAACUUUCGAAAGAGGAGGGGAUUCAGAAGACACUCAGCAAGAAGUAUAUUUUGCAAUAUAGAGCUCAUAUAAUCAAGACAUUUGCGAAACAUAGGCAGAUUUGGAUUUCUACAGAUUUAGAGUUUUAGAAAUUUGUUUAGGGCUUAGGAUGCAAGUCACUGGCCAAUUGUAAACUCUAGCUUACUAAAUCAAUUAGCUUUUUAUAUCUUUUUAUGGUAUCACUGUUAUGUUUAGUUUUCCUUAAUGAAAUUUACAGCACAUUCAAGUUU